rnacentral:rRNA from 1 species
UACGUAGGGGGCAAGCGUUGUCCGGAAUCAUUGGGCGUAAAGAGCUCGUAGGCGGCCUGUUGCGUCCGCUGUGAAAUCCCGGGGCUCAACCCCGGGCGUGCAGUGGAUACGGGCUGGCUGGAGGCAGGCAGGGGAGAACGGAAUUCCUGGUGUAGCGGUGAAAUGCGCAGAUAUCAGGAGGAACACCGGUGGCGAAGGCGGUUCUCUGGGCCUGUACUGACGCUGAGGAGCGAAAGCGUGGGGAGCGAACAGG